ensembl:lncRNA
GUAGCACAAAGUAUUUACUAAAAGGGUUUACUAAAAAUAGUUGUGGCGCACCUAUUUUUAACAAAGAUAUUUUUUAAUAAGCCUGUGUUUUGUUUGCAAUUGUUUUAUAUCCAUGAGAGCAGAGUAUUUUUGUGAUUUUUUUUUAAACAAAAGAUCAAAAGGUUAAACAAUAAAGACAAUUUUUCACAGGCCUUCAUUGCUCAUAUUUACCAGGGGUGCCAAUAUUAGUGGAGGGCAGUAUAAUUACUUUGUGUAGUAUUUAAUCCAGCUGUGAGGUAUUUAAUCAGGCUGUAUAUGUUUUAAUCAUGUUAUGUAGUAUUUAAUUAGGCAGUGUAGUACUUUAUAAGGUUGUAUGGUAUCAUGGUGUGUAGUGCUUUAUAAGGUUGUGUGAUAUUUAAUCAGGCUGUGUAGUAGUUAAUUAAGUUGUAUAUUAUGUGUAGUAUUUACUCAGGCUAUGUAGCAUUUAAUUAGGUUGUGUAGUAUCUAAUAAGGCUGUGUAGCAUUUAGUAAUGUUGCAGAGUAUCAUGUUUUGUAGUAUUUAUCAGACUGCAUAGUAUUUAAUAAAGUUCUAUAGUAUAAUGUUGUUUAGUAUUUAAUCAUGCUGUGUAUUAUUUAAAUCUUGCUGCAUAUUUAAUGAUGUUGUGUAGUAUUUAAUAAAGUUUUUAUAGUAUGGUGUGGAGUAUUUAAUCAGGCUGUGUGGUAUUUAAAGUUGCACAGUUUCAUAUUGUGUAGUAUUUAAUCAGGUUGUGUAGUAUUUAAUAAAGUUGUAUAGUAUAUUGUGUAAUAUUUAAUCAUGAGGUGUAGUAUUUAAUCAGGCUGUGUAGUAUUUAAUAAAUUGCACAGUGUUGUGUAGUAUUUAAUCAUGAGGUGUAGUAUUUAAUCAGGCUGUGUAGUAUUUAAUAAAGUUGUACAGUGUUGUGUAGUAUUUAAUCAUGAGAUGUAGUAUUUGAUCAGGCUGCGUAGUAUUUAAUAAGUUGCACAGUGUUGUGUAGUAUUUAAUCAUUAGAUGUAGUAUUUGAUCAGGCUGCGUAGUAUUUAAUAAGUUGCACAGUGUUGUGUAGUAUUUAAUCAUUAGGUGUAGUAUUUAAUCAGG